GGAGUUCCCAUUGUGGCUCAGUGGUAACAAACCCGACCAGUAUCCAUGAGGAUGAAGGUUCAAUCCCUGGCCCCGCUUACUGGGUUAAGGAUCAGCUGUUGCUGUGAGCUGUGGUGUAGGUCGCAGACACGGCUGUGGCUGUGGUGUAGGCUAGCAGCUGCAGCUCUGAUUCGACCCCUAGCCUGGGAACUUCCAUGUGCUGUGGGUGCAGCAAAAAAAAAAAAUUUGAAGAACCAUUUUAUAUGCCUCUCACAGUGUACAUUAUCCACUCAGGAUUGGUGAUGCCAAAAUAUUUAUUUAUCAGUAGACUGCAUCAGAAACUUUAUCAAAAAUACAACAUCCAGGCCUCCAUCUCAGAGCUAUUGAAAUACUCUUUAUAAGCUGAACCCGAGAACCUGUGUUUGGGGAAGAACACCCCCCACCCCCACCCCCGCCUGUGACUCUGAAAUCGGCCAGGGUCCGGCUCUGAUGCUUGGUAGCUUUAGGCUCUAGGUACCAGGUGUGGGCACAUUGCAGGAAGACAGUGGCACAGAACCUUGGAAACAUGACUCCUUAAGAAGGUCGCUUUGCAGAGCACCCUUCUGUCACAAGAGCACCCUUUCAAGAGCAGAGUUUUCUUAGGGGUGGGAGGAUGCUGCCUUCUCCUUGGGACGUGCUCUCGGAGGCGUUCCUAAGAGGGAACAGCAUUCGGUCAGGGGUGCAGUGCGGACAUUGCCCAUGCCUGGCCACUUCCAACAUUUGCCUUUUGCAGAAGGCCCGUGCAGGUUUCCCUGAGCCCGGGAGAGGAAGAGUGGAGGCCCUCCCUCCCACCUCCCAUCAAGCAGUGUGAUCCUUUUUGAGGGAAAUGGAUCGUGCCCUGGUUUAUCGAUUUAAAGUGUCGCACGAUGCCGUGGGAACGUCUCGCAGAGCUCCUUACUGGUAACUGCACGAUGCGGCCUGUGGCUUCUGUCAGCAUUUAUUAUCAGUGAUUAAUGGAUCCUUGAUUCAGUGAUUAUGCCGUUAUUAUUCCACUGGUCAUAUGGUUUGGCUCAGAUUACAGAUGAAGAAAAUAUCAAUUUAAAAUAAUCCAGGAAAGGAAGCAACUGGCGUCCGAGGGCCUUGUCGUUCUCUGCCCGCGUGAUUAUUCAUUCAGCGGAUCGCAGGAUUUAAUACAGUCUUUCCUUUGAGUAAAUACGAGGAACGCGGUUCAGCCACAUGUUACGUGGGGUUUGUUUAUUUUGCUUUCAUUUUUAUGACUUUUAAUUUAGAGGUUUUGAAAAUGAAGGUUGAAAGAUCCCACACUGCUGUGAGCGUUUGUGCUCCAGGACUUCAGGAGCCAGCGGGCUGGGGAGCAGGUCAGAAGGAGGCAUCGCGUGGGGCCGCCAGGACAGGUUCUGUGCCAGCUGCCGAGCCUGCGUCCGUGUGACCCCGUGGGAGACGCCGGCACUAGCAGAGAAUUAGCAGUUUCACAGUGUCGGCUGGAGGUCUUACUUCCUCUUAGGCUCUUGGUUAGAUCGACUCCUGAGCAGGUGCUUCUUUCCUGUUUGCUGUGUAUAUAUUUGCACUUUCCUCCCUAAGGGCAGGGAUCUCUCUCUCUCUCUCUCUUUUUUGUCUUUUUAGGGCCGUACCCAUAGCAUGUGGAGGUUCCUAGGCCAGGGGUCAAAUCAGAGCUACAGCUGCUGGCCUACACCACAGGCGCAGCCACACGGGAAUCCUUAACCCACUGAGCAAGGCCAGGGAUCGAACCUGGGUCCUCACGGCUCCUAGUCUGGUUUGUUACCGCUGCGCCACAACAAGAACUCCAGGGCUCUCUGUUUUGCUCCCUGAUGGGUGCUGAGCACCUAAUGAUACCUGUCGCUCAGUAAAUACUUAAUGAAUGGAUGGAUUCUGCAACUCAUCCUGAAGAGAUUUAAGGCAUACUGAGUGCGAGGAUGACGUAAAAUACGCCGGGAGAAAAUCCACGCCCUGUUGCUAAGGAAGAAGCUGAGACAGCGGGACGGCAGAGGCUGCCCGGCGAGCCCGCCCCAAGGCUGAGAUCAGCGCACGGAUGGCAGGCAUGGAGUUCCGGACACUUCCCAGAGCAGGCUGCAGACUUGGCUCCGAGACCUCCAGCUGCUCGGGAUCUGUGUCAGGAAGAUGCAGGCAACUUAGAUUUACUGUCUCCUCAGGCAUCCGUGGCCUGGCCCUCGCCAGAGAGAUGCCUGACGUUGAUUACGGGGAGACAGGAGUAGGUGUGCGUCCGGCACAAGCCGGUCACUGCCCCCAGGGCGGCUGGUCCGGACGGUGCACAGACUCGUGGAUGAAGGCCGCUGGAUGCCCACGUUGGCUGGGAUUUAAUUCUGCCCUUUGGCCUCUGAGGGGCUAAUGUCGACACAUGUUCAGUAAUAAGUAAAAAGUACUGUCACGUUACGGACUUUCGGUGUCGUUGAAGCGUUGAGAAGAAAUGAGGCUGGGAUAAAAAUGGCUAUUUUUUUUGGAAUGCAUUUUACUAAAAUGUUAAUUGUAUUUUUCAGAGUCUUAAAAGUAUGGAGACCAGAAAACGAUGAGCCUCACAUUUCCUACACACGGGACUCAUGGUUUCACACCUAAAACUCUGCAGAGAACACGUGAAGCAGUUAGGGUGUAAGAUGCCCCUGCUUCUCGGCCCCGCCUCACCCCUGCCCGUCAGCAGACCCCGGGCUCCAGCGCGUCUUCCCAGCUCGGCCGCAUCUUUCCCCAGGGUCGCCCUUGCUGCUUUCUUCUGCGCCGUCUUCAGGUUCUCAGUGAGCCCAUCCCUGGUCACCUCAUCUGGAACUGUACACACACACGCACACACACACACACACACACACACACACACACGCACGCUGACCCUCUCUCUUUCUAAAGCCUCGCGCUGGCACAUCCGUCACACUCGUGUCUCUCGGUGGGGGCCUCUGUCCCUGCCUGUCCCUGCUCGCUGCUGUGCCCUCAGUGCCCGUAGACGCGGUCGGCCCGCUUGUGGGAUGGGUGCAUUUCCGGCUUCUUUUGAGACAUUGGUCCCACCGAGCUGGGCUGAUUCCUGCGCGGAAACUGUCAUCUGAGGCAAAGUGGCAGGACGGGCAGAGGGCUGUCGCAUUCCUGGCUUCUCGGGAAGCUUGUUUGUGGCCCCCGCACUCCUGCAGGGGCGGUCUGUAGCCAGGGGGUCCCCUCUCACACGUGGGCGUCUGGGACGCCUGCGCCGGCCCGCCUGGCUUGUCCCCGUGGGCGUUUGAGUGCACGACCGACCGCGGUGUGGAGUAAAAUGAUCACCUGUCCGUGGGAGAGACUGGACGCGGUGACAGCUGGCUCUGCUCAUGGUAAAGGAACUGGAGAAGAGCCUUGCUGUCUCGAUACUGAGUCGCGAGGGUGACACUCGUGUUCUGGGCGUUUCCCAUGUUACGGCAACGCGGGCUCCACAUCACUCCGGGGUUUCCACCUGCAGUGACCCUCACGGCGCGGUACAUGCUGCAGCCGCUUUACUGUGUUUGUCCAAUGCACGCUGCCUUGCUGGGAGCCAGUGCAUAUUUUGGCAAAUGUGCUAUACUUUAAAAAAAAAAAAUCCAUUGCUUUUCCCAAUCAGAAAAUAAUAGUUCCCAGGAAACUGUUACAGGGAGUCUUAAAAAUUCUUCCCUGCGCACAUGUCAUUGAUCCCUGGGGAGCGGUAGAGCCUUUGAGACUUACUGUGGUCCAGUCUGUUGUACAAACUCUGCCUUGCUGCAGCUCCUCGGGGGAGUUCCCGCUAAGAGAGCAUUCGAUGUGCGUUUUGUACAUGGAACAAGGUCCGUGUAAGACAGCCGUCGGGGCACCACUCGGGCUGCGCUUCCUCCGUUAACCUCUCCUGCAGAGUCUCAGGUGCAGAGCUGAAAACAGCAAACACCUUCAGGUGCUUUACAGACACCAGAUUGCAGUGUGACUUAGUCGCCUCCGACUUCUUUUUCUGGGCUGCGCAAAUCUGGCCCAGGGAGUCCCAUCCUCGGAAAUACUCUAAGGAAAUGUGGAUAUAGGCAUCUUCUUGUUCAGUCUCGAUUUGAGAUCGUCUUUUUAAAAAGUCCAGACCAAAGGCACAGGCCCUGGCAGAAGGAUGGACAGUAAGCAGCAGUGAUGCAGCUGCAGGCUCUGCAGGACACGCUGGGGGGGCCCUGUGCGCACCCACCCCCCACCCCGUCCACCCGGCUCGACUGUCCCAGGGGAGACACAGCACCACGGUUAGAUAAAAGUCACGCAGUCUGUGUUACAACAGAGGUUUGGCCAGGACCUGAUUAAAAUCCUGACAGGACCCAGAGCAUGGAAAAGAGUAUUGCAGGCUGCCUUUUCCACACCCAGUUGAUAAUUCAGAAUGACACAAAAUUUAAAUUCGUGACUACAUCCAAGUAGUUUCUUUGAAAUAUUUUCAUGUCAAAGUUCUAGUAACUUCAUUGCGGUAAACUUUUUUCUCUGGGGUGACACGUGGAACCCCAAGCAUACACUUCUGCAGUGGUCGUGUGUCCAGCGGGGCAGCCCCCGUCCCUCCAGCGCACAGCUGGGGACGCUUUCAAGUAGAGGCGAUGCCGGGCACUGCCCGGUGGGAUGAGCACGUGCUUCUCACUGAAAGUCACCGCCGACUUGGUGAGGAGACGUGGGGCUGGACUGUACGUGCAGUUUGUCACCGGGUCUCCCGACUGUCGGGGUGCUUCUUGGAAGCCCCAGUACCCUGGACCAGUGGUAAUGGGUUUUGCUACCGGGCGAUGGAUCUGUUUUUGCGCACCUCUCGGUGGAGGUGCUAAGAAACAGCAGAAUGCCCCGGGCUUGUCAGUGGACGGUAAGGAGGCAUAGGGGGGCGGAGGCAGGGCAGGUGGCCGCGUGGACAGUCUUCAGCCGAGUCAUUAGGGGAGGGUUGUCGUUUGCCUGGUUGUGAUUGAAGAGUAUCUGACUAGGGUGUCUGUGAGACAGGAAGGGCCGGGGACAGGGACGGAGAGAUGGAAGGAGCCAAAAAAAAAGGGCCAGAACUGACUUGAAAUUGGUAUUGGUUACAGUAUCGAUUGGAUUUAUUUUCUGUCUUGGAGAUCAAACUUUAACAGAAUGCUUUACUUUCUUCAACAUAUACGGUCUAAUCUAUUUUUCAAGUUGUGAAAAGUCUGAAGAAAUCUCCGCCUCCUCAUCCCCUCU
rnacentral:lncRNA from 1 species